UCCGUAGGGUGCGAGCGUUGUCCGGAUUUAUUGGGCGUAAAGAGCGUGUAGGCGGCCAAGCAGGUCCGCUGUGAAAACUCGAGGCUCAACCUCGAGACGUCGGUGGAAACCGUUUGGCUAGAGUCCGGAAGAGGAGAGUGGAAUUCCCGGUGUAGCGGUGAAAUGCGCAGAUAUCGGGAAGAACACCCGUGGCGAAGGCGGCUCUCUGGGACGGUACUGACGCUGAGAUGCGAAAGCGUGGGGAGCGAACAGG
rnacentral:rRNA from 1 species